UGGUGGGUUUUGUUGAGUUUCAUCGCCCACAGCUGCAGCAAACAGCAACAUUUGGUGCUGUGAAACCCGCUGAGGUUCUCUCCAUAACUCCUCCCACAGCCCACUGGUGGGCCAGCGGAGACACUCGGGGACCCUGAUCCCCAACUGACAGACCACUUUCCAUCUACCCGUCCUUUGGGAUCCCCGUACAGCACCGGCUAUGACUUGGAUUAAAAGAAAUGUGACAGCGUUUGAGGCUCUGAACGAACCAUGUCGGCAUUGUUAUUUUAUCAGGAGAAAUGAAGGACAUCAGAACAAGCAGGACAGUAGUGAUGAGGAAGCAAAUGACUGAGACGGAACCUAGAAGCUCAAACAUGCAAAGGCAGUGCUGCACCAUUGAACUACAGCUCCAGCCCUACCUUCGCCUUUGGAAAUUAGUCAACUCAUCUUUCCCCACUUGACCUUCUGCUGCCCCAGGGACAGCAGUCACCCUCCCUUCCAGAUUCUCCUGGCACUACCUCAAUGAAUUGACCUUACUUUGGCCCCUCAGAGACAGCAAGAGCUGCUGCUCUUAGAGGUCCCCUCUUCAAAACUCUGAUCAUCACCUUGUAGCCUCUAAGUACUGGAGGCUUGCUCUGAGCCACGAGGCAACAAUCACAAAAUGGACUCUAUUUUUUUCCAACCCUGGGGUACAAUGGUUAUAUAAUUUCGUCUGGGAAACAAUGUCCCUGGAGUUAGGUCAGACCAUCUUCUGGUUGCACUUACACUCCUAUUACUUUUGUAACUGCUCCCCUGUUUCAAAUCCUCUUGCCUGAAAUAUCUAUUGAAGGUUGUAUUCCAAACUCUCCCCAUCUAAUAGAGCGAUGACUAUUUACUUGACAUAAACCAAGCAAUUAGGGUGCCAGGA